AUUGAUUCUAAUUUAAGGGUCAUAACUCUUAGAUGGAGAAAUCUUGUGGAUCAUGAAGCUUCCUUUGAAGUUUGAAGUUAUUUUAUUUAUUUAUUUUGUGGAAGUUUUGGCAUGAGGACUUAACCGAUUAAAACAGAAUAGUGAAAAUGAAACAUAGUGAGUUAUAGUAGUUGUGUCUUAUGCAAUGAGGAAGGGAAAAACUUGGAUCAUUUAUUCCUGCAGUGCUGUCUUGAUCUGUAUUGUUUGGUUCAGAAUUGACCCUUAGAACUGAGUUCAUUUAUCCUUGCUCUUUGAAGCAGUGAUUGCCACAAUUGAUGGAGGAUUUUAACCUUUCACAAACUGGAAUAUGCAUGUGAUGUUCUCUAAAAUGAUGUUUGAGGGUACAAAAAUGUCUGCUUCAGAACUGCUAAUGCUUAGUAAAGCUCUGUUUUGCAGGUAUGUAUAAAUCUAUAAUGCACCAGGCAGAUCAGAGCAACUGCAGGAAUGUACCAAGGCAAGUGUGUCUAAUUGUGGAGGAUUGCUAAGUGUUGCUUUGAGGGACACUGGCAGAGAGGGUAUGAAUGGGUUGAUUUUGGCUGUAGCUAUAUCAAGCACUGGCAGGAAAAUUUUUGAUUUGCUCCUUCAAUAAGUAGUAGAGGAGUGGAGGAACUCUGUUUGGGAAAGAUGGCUCCUUGGCUGACCAUGCCCAUUUCACAUGAUGGAACGAACCAAAAGACCUAUCUCCAAAUAGUAACUUGAUUAGGCUAUAUACCAUCAUAUAGACUCAAGUAGAAUUAGAAUUAAAAGACAGCAGUAGACAGUAGAGAAUUCUGACCAUACAACAGACUAAACUAUAAAUUACUAACUCUGUCAUCUGGUGCAUAUUCAUCUUUACAGUAAUCAAACCCAAGCAGGCAAGCAACUGUAUAGACAAGGUUGAAAAAUGGAGAAGGUGGCCUACUUGGAUAGGACCUGGUUAGGGAGCUAUACACUCCCGAAGUGGAUGCUCAAAUUUAGCUUGCUGUAUCUGGAGGUGAGGAGUUUCUGAUAUGCUGAUAUGGCCUCAUGUAACACAUGGUCAAUGUGCAGUCAAAAUAGGCUACCAAUUGAUGCAUGCAUUGGAAAUAAGGGAAACUCAGAUAAUGGAUUCUCAUCGUAGGGUUAUAGCCCUUCUUUGAAGAAAUCUGUGGAGCUUGAAGCUUCCUUUGAAGUUAAGAGUUUUUGUUUGGAAGUUUUGGGAAGAGUACUUAGCCAUAGAAACAGAAUAGUGGAAAUGAAACAUAGUGAUUGAUACUGUGUCUUAUGCAAUGAAGAAGAGGAAAACUUUGAUAAUUUAUUCCUGAAGUGCAGUCUUGCUUGGUCUGUAUGGUUUGUGUCAGAUUUGACCCUCAGGACUGAGUUCAUUUGUCCUUCCUCUUUGAAGCAAUGGUUGGCUCAGUAAACAAAGGAUCCAAAUUUUCAUUAACAAAAAUCUGUUAUGAUCCCCAGAUUGUUUAUCAUAACUCUGCAGGCCUUGGGUAUCACUGCAAUAAAGUGAGGUUUGAGGGUGCAGAAUAGUCUGAUUAUGAAGUGAUAAUGCUCAGUAAAGCUUUUGUUUUGCUGGUAUGCACAAGCCUAUGAUGUACAAGUGGUGGGUCAGAUUAAUUGUAGGAGUGUAUCAGCAAGAGUGUAUCUAGUUGUGGAGGGAUAGCAGGUGUUGCUGACAGUUAAGGGGCACUGGCAGAGAGAGUGCAAAUGGGUUGGUUUUGUGCCUAUGCAGCAAAAUCAUGUUUUAGCAGGAAAACCUUUCUGCCACUUGCAACUGAAUGGAAGCUUGACGCCCAGCUGUUCGAAAAGCAUUAACUAAGUCCAUACAGCUUGGUUUUUGCAGACUUGUUUCAAUAAGUACUGAAGGAGUGGAGGACCUCCGUUUGGGAAAGAAGGUUCCUUGGCAACUUCAUGCGAUGAUUGAAGACCACAAGUGCAUGGAAGAUGGAAAAUGAAGAACACUAGUAGUGUAUAUAUGCUGUGCAUAGGAGAGUCACUGCGACAAGGGCCUGGCUACUCUUGCUUCAAAGGAGCUUCUUUUGGAGCUUGCAACUUUAUUACUAGGCAACUCUUCUGGCAUUACUGUAUCAGAAAACCAAAAAAGUUGUCACUACAGAUUUUUUAGACUAAUUUAUGGCUUUGUAGUGUCUGCAUUUUAAGACAUUAUAGAAGAUAUUCGUUUCUCUCUGAGAAAAUCUAUGUAAAAUUCUCCUGUUAAUUUAAAUAAGGGCAUUUCAAUAAA